GUGGGGAAUAUUGGACAAUGGGCGAAAGCCUGAUCCAGCCAUGCCGCGUGUGUGAAGAAGGUCUUCGGAUUGUAAAGCACUUUAAGUUGGGAGGAAGGGCAGUAAGUUAAUACCUUGCUGUUUUGACGUUACCGACAGAAUAAGCACCGGCUAACUUCGUGCCAGCAGUCGCGGUAAUACGAAGGGUGCAAGCGUUAAUCGGAAUUACUGGGCGUAAAGCGCGCGUAGGUGGUUUUGUAAGUUGGAGGUGAAAUCCCCGGGCUCAACCUGGGAACUGCCUCCAAAACUGCAUGACUAGAGUACGGUAGAGGGUAGUGGAAUUUCCUGUGUAGCGGUGAAAUGCGUAGAUAUAGGAAGGAACACCAGUGGCGAAGGCGACUACCUGGACUGAUACUGACACUGAGGUGCGAAAGCGUGGGGAGCAAACAGGAUUAGAAACCCGUGUAGUCC
rnacentral:rRNA from 1 species